UGGGCCGUUACUGACGCUNAGGAGCGAAAGCGUGGGGAGCGAACAGGAUUAGAUACCCUGGUAGUCCACGCCGUAAACGGUGGAUGCUGGAUGUGGGGACCAUUCCACGGUCUCCGUGUCGGAGCCAACGCGUUAAGCAUCCCGCCUGGGGAGU
rnacentral:rRNA from 1 species